UGGGGAAUAUUGGACAAUGGGCGCAAGCCUGAUCCAGCAAUGCCGCGUGGGUGAAGAAGGCCUUCGGGUUGUAAAGCCCUUUUGUACGGGAAGAAAUCAUCCGGGUUAAUACCCUGGGUGGAUGACGGUACCGUAAGAAUAAGCACCGGCUAACUUCGUGCCAGCAGCCGCGGUAAUACGAAGGGUGCAAGCGUUAAUCGGAAUUACUGGGCGUAAAGCGUGCGUAGGUGGUUGUUUAAGUCUGUCGUGAAAGCCCUGGGCUCAACCUGGGAAUGGCGAUGGAUACUGGGCGACUGGAGUGCGGUAGAGGAUGGCGGAAUUCCCGGUGUAGCGGUGAAAUGCGUAGAGAUCGGGAGGAACAUCCGUGGCGAAGGCGGCCAUCUGGACCAGCACUGACACUGAGGCACGAAAGCGUGGGGAGCAAACAGG
rnacentral:rRNA from 2 species